AAGUCGUAACAAGGUUUCCGUAGGUGAACCUGCGGAAGGAUCAUUACAGUGUUAGGCUUCGGCCUCAUUCACACCCCUUGUUGAACCUCUGGUUUCUUUGGCGAUGUCAUGGACUCGUCAAACUUUAACUCUGGUAAUGCGAUAUUGUCCGAGUGCCAUUGAAUUAUAAAAACUUUCAACAACGGAUCUCUUGGUUCUG
rnacentral:misc_RNA from 1 species